CUUCGGUUCUGAUGUUCUAGCGGCGGACGGGUGAGUAACGCGUGAGCAAUCUGUCCCAUACAGGGGGAUAACAGCUGGAAACAGCUGCUAAUACCGCAUGAGACCACAAUGUCACAUGACGAAGGGGUCAAAGGAGCAAUCCGGUAUGGGGUGAGCUCGCGUCCCAUUAGGUAGUUGGUGAGGUAACGGCCCACCAAGCCGACGAUGGGUAGCCGACCUGAGAGGGUGAUCGGCCACAUUGGGACUGAGACACGGCCCAGACUCC
rnacentral:rRNA from 1 species